rnacentral:lncRNA from 1 species
GCCAAUCAGCAUCUCCUUAUAUAGAUGAAUUUAAUUAAUUAAUCUCUAUGAGGAAAGUUCAGUGUCUGCAUGCAGAGGGAGGAGACACUGAAUGUUUGGAUGCAUUUUAGGCAACCAUGACCCAGGAAGGAUCUCUAACAGUCAUCUAAGGAGUGGCCAGUGAAGUUAUCACUAGGAUGUAAAGUAAACACUGCAUUUUCUCUGAAAAGCAGUGUUUACAGCAAAAAGCCUGACAGUAAUGAUUCUACUCACCAGAACAAAUUCAAUAAGCUGUAGUUGUCCUGGAGACUAUAGUGUCCCUUUAACUAUAUUCAUUGUCAGCCAGUC